GCUGUAAGAAAUAGCUUUACUUUAUUGUAAUGUUUGAUUUGGUUUCAAAACACCUGACCUUGACAUUUUGCCAUGAAAGUAUUAGUCAUUAUAUUAUAACUGGAACUCUUGCAAUACUAGGCACCAAAAGGAUGGACUGGAAUGGACUGUCAAAAUUAAACUUCAGGAAUGCAAUGCAGGAACAGUGAGAAUGCUACCCAGUAAUCUGCAGGGCAUCAUGGGAGUCGUGAAGGUCACGUGUGGUGGUCCCUGGGGAGUGCCCAGCGCCCAGGUGCUGCUGAGGAGGGCCAGCGAGUUUCCUGGGGAUCGCUGGGAUGUCUCCCUGUGAAGCACCGGGCAUGCCGUGAUCCUGCCUUUCCUUCCUCUGAGCCACAUCCCCUACCGGCGACUGACUACUGCCUCAGAGGCUGACAGUGGUCAGCACCCACACCUAACAGGACUAGCCAUGGCUGCAAAGUGUGCCUGCUCCCUGGGGGUCCCUUCACUCUAGUGCCCAGAUGCUGGGUUGGCUCUCUGUAUGCUUCUGUAAAGUCACUUCCACUCUCAUGGGUAUUCACUCAUGGGAAUUAGGGGAAGGCAUCAGACAAUGGGAGGGAGAGGGGGAGAACAGUGCUGGGUGUAAAUCUGUGCUCUUCCAUGAUUUUAAGCAGACUCGGGGCUCUCACAUGGGUGCAGGGGAACAUGGGCAUGGACCAUCUUCUGCUGCUUCCCCAGGCACUUUAGCAGGGAGCUGGCUUUGAAGUGGGGGCAGCCAGGCCUCAAACCGGUGCCCAUAUGGGAUGCCAGCAUCACCUGCGGUAGCUUUAUGUGCUACAUACAGGGUGAGGCAGGAUUUUACAUUUUAUGCAGACUCCAGCUUCUGAAACUGUGAGACCAUAAUGUGGAUUGGCAGUGUGAGGAGGGAGGGGCAGAGUUGUCUACCUGUCUCAGGUUCCCUGAGAGGUAGGAGGGAGGUGGGCAUCUGGGGAGUCUGAUGAAAAUGCAGGGAGCUGCAGGACAAGGAAGUUGGUGUGGAGUUACUCUGGGCAUUCGGGGUCAGAAGGAAGAGCCUCCUGUCCCCUUCCCUGCCCCUCACAGUGCCCUGUGUCAGCGUAGCAGGUGCACAGAAGACCAACUCAGUGGUUCAGGUGCACAGAAGACUAUGCUCAGUGGUUCAGGUGCACAGAAGACCAUGCAGAGUGGUGCAACAGAUUUGAGAAAAAGUGGCCCUGACCAUUGCUGAUUGGUUAGAUCAUAGUCACGUAACUGUGGUCAGUCAGCAGCUCUGUCCUACUGAUGCUUUAUUUUGAAGAGACUUGGCCAGAUGCAGUGGUUAUGUCCUACGUCUCCCUUAACCAGGUAUUGAUUUAUUUACACAUUGAUCUGUUCAUUUUUAUUCAUUGCAAUCCAGGAACUAUAUUUAACCAGCUACCUUAUUUCCCAGUGUAUUCCCUUUCCUAUGUCUAAAAACUGUGUUUGCUGAUUUUGUCUCGG